rnacentral:rRNA from 1 species
UAUGUUACGACUUAUCUCCUCUUAGGAGGAGAGUGACGGGCGAUAUGUGCANAUUCUAUUGCCUUAUUCAACUUAACUUCCUUAAUUAAGUUUACUAGUAAAUCCACCUUCAGAUCCUAUUACAAAAAUAAUCCGUUUAGUUUAAAACUAUUGUAGCUCAUCACUACUUUCCCAUAAGCUGCACCUUGACCUGAAGUCAUAAAAUUAUUUUUUAAGAAACAUUCUAGUAAAGUAAUCUGACAACGGAGGUAUACAAACUAUACAAAAGAAAGAAAGAUUCAACGAGGAUUAUCGAUCACAGGACAAGCUCCUCUAUUUGGAUAGAAUACCGCCAAAAUCUUUGGGUUUGAAGAAUUUUCUUUUACUACCCUAGUUAACAGUAACUCAUAAUAGCAGGGUAUCUAAUCCUGGUUUAUAAAAUGAGUUUAUAAGAUCUAAAAGUUAAAAAAAUAAAACCUCUUAAUAAUUUUACAGAUUUCACUCAAAAAAAUAUCCUUAAAGUUUAAAUUUAAAACAUCAAUUAUCUUAUUUUNACCUUAAAUUUCAUUUAGGUCCUUCGUCUAACC